rnacentral:lncRNA from 1 species
UGUAAGUGCAAAUGAACAAACAGGCUCAGAGGUGAAGGCGCUUGUCACAGGCUGCACAGCCAAACAGAAAGUGGCUCAUGGGCAGAGAGACCCAGCAAACACCUCCCCAAGAGAAGGAGGCCCCUGUCACUGAAGAUCCAUUUCUUUUGCAAUAAAGGACAAUGUUGUGUGGGGGGAGGGUGGAGCUUUCCUUCCCAAAUAUCAUAGGAGGCUCAGAUGCUUCAUUGAGGAUCCACCCCUGGUCCUGUAUCACUCAGAAGCAGGCACCCUCUCCUGGGAAACCCCCCAGGAAAUCCUCCUUUUCUCCUUGCCUCCCAGGAGGCCCAGAGGGCCUUGAUGAGUCACAAUACUGUUUGUCAAGAGUCAUUGGCUCUGGAGCUCAGGAUUUCAAGCCAGGUCAUCCAAAUCAGGGUAGGGGACAAGGAAGGGGCUAGGGAGACCAAAGGUGGUCCAGGAAGGGAGGAGAAAGGGACAACUAAUUCAUCUUGAGCACCUACUAGGAGCUGGCAUGGGGCAAGACAUUUUAGAAGUAUGUGACCACAUUCCAGCUCCCAGCCCCAAAAGGCUAACUUUGAUUACUCCUGUUUCCCCAAUGAGGAAACCAAGGACUGGAAAUGGAUCCAGUAACAAAGCAAUGGAGCAGCCAAACUGGGAUGUGGCCUCCUUGGCCUCCUCUUGAACCCCACUCUGUGGCCUCCCUGUACCCUGACCAUGCUGGCUUCCCCCAGCUACAUCUGCACCAUGUGCCCCCUCUCAGCACCUGGCCUCUGCCCAGGCUGCUCCCUCUGCCUGAAACACCCUUUCUUUCCUGGUGUUACGUUAACUUCUACUUGAUCUUCAGGCCUCAGCUCGAGUGUUACUGUCUGUUACGGCCUGAAUUGUGCCCCCUCCAAUUCAUAUGUUGAAGUCCUGACCCCUGUUAAUGUGACUGUAUUUGUGGAUAGGACCUUUUUAAAAAUUUUUAAAUUUCUUCUGAGAGCAAGUUUUGCUCUAUUGCACAGGCUGGAGUGCAGUGCUCACUGCAGCCUCCAUUUUCUGAGCUCAGGUGAUUCUCCUGCAUCAGUCUCCCAAGUAGCUGGGACUACAGGCAUGUAACACCAUGCCUGGCUAAUUUUUUUUUUUCAUAGAGAUGAGGUCUCACUAUGUUGCCCAGGAUGGUCUCAACCCCCUGGGUUCCAGCAAUUCUCCUGCCUCAGAGUCCCAAAGUGCUAGGAUGUCACAGGAGUGAUAAUGCACCUGGCCAAGACAGGACCUUUCAAGAGGUGACUAAGUUAAAUGAGGUCCUUAGUGUGGGCCGCACUCUAAUAGGAAUGAUGUCUUCCCAAGAAGAGAAGAUUAGGAUACAGACGUUCACAGAGAGACCAUGAGAAGACACGGAGAGAAGUGACUGUCCACAAGCCAAGAAGAGAAGCCCCAGAAGAAAUCAACCCUGCUGACACCUUGAUUUUGAACUUCCAGCCGCCAGAGCUGUGAGAAUGUCAGUGGUUUAAGCCACCAGUCUGUUACUCUGUCACGGCAGCCCCAGCAGACUCAUUAGGUGGCCUCCGAGAAGCCCUCCCUGACCCUCCAGACCCAAGCUGAGACCCUGUGAAUGCUCUUUCCUUCACGGCGCCUCUCAUGACCACAGUAUUCUGCGUAUUUCUGUGAUCAUUUGGUUAAUGGCUGUGUCCUCCAUAGAUGGUGACAAUCACAAGGGCACAGACGGGGUCUGCCUUGGUCUCUGCACAGUGCCAGGUGCAUAGUAGGCCCCCCCUAAAUACAUGCGGAGUGAGAUGAGAAGGGAAGAGCCAGAGAGGCUCUGCGGCCUCGGGAGCUCUCCUGCCUCCCUCUGUGUCUCUAUUCCCCGACCAAAACAGCACCACCAAGGCUUCUGGAACUUUUGAACUUCAAUCCUCUUCUUCAGCAAAUAUUUCCUUUGUGGGGGGGGGGGGUUUCCCUGGAGCCCCUCAGCUCUGUCAGGCUCAGUUUUGUCCAGCAACUUUAAAUCAAAUCCUUGCUGAAAAAUGUGAAACUCAUUCCUGAAGUCAGCAAAAGACAAGGUGCCUCGUCCUCUGCUACUUGUCUCUGUCCCUCCUUGAACCCUGUUCUUCCUGAUCCCCCAUUCCAGCCCUGCCCAAAUCCUGCCAGCUAUUAAGGGCUACACUCCAAAUUUCCCUUCUCCAAAAGCUCAUCCCCGGGGGCCCAGAGACUAGAAGCGGAGGCUCAGAAAGGGAGAGAGAGUGGCCCAAAGUCACACAGCCGAGCAGAGGCUGGUCCAUCUGUGAAUCUCAACUCUGGCCUGGUCCCAUCUCCAGGCAUAUCAGCGAAGGCAUCUGGUGACACAAGUGUCCUCAGCCCCAGGGGAAACUGCUCUACCUCCUCCAUUCAUUCCACUGGGCAGGUCGGGUCUGAGCCGAGGUGGGCCUGGCAGAGGUCCUGGGCCUCUGCCACUGAGAGCACGUGACCUGCCCAAGGCCACACAACCGGUUAACAGUGGAGCCAGAGCUGGACGUGCCGGAGCCACAGUGCCUCGCCACACGGCCACCUUGCUCCUUCUGCACCAGCGACGUGACUAUGCAGGAGGCAGCUUGUGUGAUAUUGAUCGAGCUCCUGAUGCAAAGCAGGGUGGGAAAUCCUAGGAAUCAGGUAGACCCGAUUUUAAAUCCAGCCAUGUGAUUGUGAUCUCAGCCAAGGAACUCCGUCUCCUUAGGACUUUUCUGCAGCUGUUACAGGGGGUUCUACCUGGUGGGGAUAUGUGUGGGUUGAAACAACGUUUGUGAAACCCGUAACACAGAGCCUAUCCACUACAUAAAGCAGGGUCAAACUGCUGAGCUCAUUGCAUAAAGUGGGGUCCACCCUCACGCAUCCCUGCCCUGGCCACGAAGCAGCCUCCCCGCUACCGUCCUGCCCUUGCAGUCCCAUUGCCCCUGGAGUCCCAUUGAUUUGAGUCCCAGCACCAAGCCUCCUUAUCACUUGCAUUGUGAUGGUGCUGCAAGUGCUCAUUGUAGCUAAUUAGAACUUUCUCAACAUCUCCUUGGUCCCUAUUUACUGCUUAUACAGAAGAGACGCUCUGAAGGCAGAAGCCUCCUUGGCCUCCUGUGCAGCAAAGUCAGAGCAGCCCCAGCCAGCCUCUCCAAGUCUCCUCGGUUGGGCAUGCCCAGUGCUCCAGCAGGCAGAGGAUGGCGGAGGGCUCUACCCACUGCCAAGCUCUGCAACCUCAUGCAAGCCGUUAAUGGUGGGCAGGGGGCAAACUCAGACAAUGACUAGUUCCUCCUAGCGCUAAAAAUGAAUUUUGCACACCAGCUUUUGCCUACACAUGCAUCAAAUAUCUCUGCAAGGACAGGCAAGAAACCAGUCACAGGGGAACCUUCUGGAAAGGAAGCUGAAUGGCUGGGGGAAAGAAAAAGUUUGUAUUUUUAAACUUUUGCAUUUUAAAUAAUGUGAACACAGCCAGGCGCGGUGGCUCAUGCCUGUAAUCCCAGCACUUUGGGAAGCUGAGGCAGGUGGAUCACUUGAGCUCAGGAGUUUGAGACCAGCAUGGGCAACAUAGUGAAACCUUGUUUCUACAAAAAAUAUAAAAAGUAGCCAGGCAUGGUGGCACCCACCUGUAAUCCCAGCUACUUGGGAGGAUCACUUGAGCCUGGGGAGGUGGAGGCUGCAGUGAGCUGUGAUCAUGCCACUGAACCCCAGCCUGGGUGACAGAAUGAAACCGUGUCUCAAUGUAACAGUAAUAAUGUGAAUGCACUGAUAUUUAAACAAAGUUGAAAUUAAAAAUAAUAAAAUCUAGAUUUCAAGUGAAGGGAUUAAAAUCCCCAGCUUCCCGAGUUUGCACGACCUCUCCUAAGGGAUUCCCAGUGCCACUGCCCUGUGUCAUUGCUGCUGACAACUGACAACUGGCCACAGAGGAGCUUGGCUAAAAGUGGGAGCCCAGGAAGGGUCACUUCAACUUAUGGGCCUCAGUUCCUCCUCACGAUCAAGAGAGCUGCUGAAAUCCGCAUCGUAAUCUAACCCUGAUUUGCUGGUCUCUUCUUUUGAUCAGAUCUGGGGAGGGCAUGAAACAUUCCGUCAUGGGAGCCCCAGGGUGUGUGUAGGGGGGCAAGCUCACAAAAGUCCAAGGGGCCCCAGCACCCUGAAUGAGACUAUUGAGGGCAUCACCGCUGAAGCCCUCUUGUUUUACCAAUGAAGAAACUGACUCACGGUUCUGGAAAGGGACUGUAUGCUGAGAUCACACAGCCGGCUGGGUACACGGCCGCCCCACCACCCCACACCACUCAUCCCCUGACAGCCGUAACGGAGGAUUCCAGCUGCACCAGCAGGUGGAGGAUCUGGCCUGGCUGUGGCCCUUUCCUCUGACUGGUGGGGCCAGAGGGUCAGCGGUGCUGGGCCUGGCCGGGCCUUGCAGGCUGUGGUAUGGAGUCUGGUCUUUGUCCUAAGAGCCCCUGGGGAGCCCCUGAAGGGUUUUAGGCUAGGAACUGAUGAUGUGUGAUUUACGUUUCGGAAGAUCGCUCUGGCUGCUGGAUGGAGAGAGGGAGCCAGCAGGCCAAAGCAAGAGCCACUGCAGCCUGGACCGGAGCAGGGGCAGCGGAGGGGCCGCCGAGAACCAGUGCAAGGGAAGGUGAGCCGAUUGCAGAUGGAAAAAGUAUAUUCCUCCUUGGAUAGUGUGUCCCGUAUCUCCAGAUGUGUAAACUGAGGCCAGAUCACAUGAUGGGGCUGUUGUAGAAGAGAGCUGUAGUGUGGCCGCAAUGCCCAAGAUUCCAGAUCACCUCCUCCAGGAAGCCUUCCCUGGCCCCCAGGCAUCCCCCACGGGACUACCCUGGGUCAUAAUCAUCGGGUUCUGGAUUUCUGUCCUUCCCUAUCAUGAAGGCAGGGGCCACUGCUUUCCUCUCUGGACUCCCAGUGCUCAGCAAACAGCCUGGCACGUAGUAGGACCUCAUACCUCACCUCCCUUCCCUUUCCUUUUCCUUCUAUCCCCACACCCCUGCCUCAGGUCUUGCAUCCAGGUAUCCCCAAAGCCCAGCCUAGAUGCUGGCACAUAGUAGGUACUCAGCAGAUAUUUCUUGAAUUGGAUUCUCUUCAGGUCAGAGUCUAACACACAGUAGGAACUCGAUAAACAUUCAGCCCUUUCUCCUCAAGGGCAGAGUCAAUGACAAAUUGCCCAGAGUUACUGGGAGCUCUCUUUGUUCCCGGCACUGCUCGGAGCACUUGAGGUAGGAAUGUUAUUACGUUCAUUUUGCAGAUCAGCAAAUGGAGGCCUACACAGGGGAGGGAAUUUGCUUGGGCCACACAGCUGUCAAAUAGCGGAGCAGGGAUUGGAACCCAGGCCCCCAGGCGCCAGGACUGGAAUGCAUGGCCUAGUUCUGAGGGCCCAGUGGCUGCCACUGUUCCUGGCACUUAGUAGGUACUGAGGUUUGUCUGUAACGGGCCCCAGAAGGACACAGUCACCUCCGAGCUGGCUGCCGCCCUCCUCCCAGGCGUGGGCAUCCCUCUCGCCUGAGUGGGCCAAGCUGUCCCAAGGGACCACGGCCAGCCCAGGCCUGCCCAGGCCCUGCCGCCCACGCGGCCUCCCUGAGCCGCCAGCAGGCCAGCAGUGUGGCCUGCCCUGGGAGACCAAGCCUCCCUCUGCCUCCAGGGUGGCCCAGACAAAGGCGGCGGUGUGCCCGGCCCCCUGGCACUCGGGCUGCCUUCUUGUCCUCCUCCUCCUCUUGCUCCAGGGCACUCGCAGAGGUUCUUUUCACAAAGGAGCUGGAGGAUGGGGGGCAGGGCUGGGCAGCCCCAAGGCAGGGGAAGGGAGCACUGGUGAGGCCACGCCCUGCCAGGCCUGACUCCUCUCCCAGCCCCGUCACACAGGCACCCAGUGGGCACCAAUCGUGGCCUGCUGAAUAAUGACCAUUCUGAGUACUGAGUGUGGCCAGGGUGGGGCCCUGGCACACGUGGACACCACUAAUCCUCCCGACAAGAGAUGGGGUUUCACACUUAGGCUGAGGAGGGGAGCGUGUCAAGGGAGCUAUUAUUUCCCCAGUGUAGUCAAGAGGAAACUGAGGCUCAGAGAGGCCGAGCCACCUGUCUAAGGUCAUACGGUUCAAAGUGGGACAAACUCACCCCCGACCCAGGUCUACCUGAUUGCCACAGAUGGCAUGCUACCCGCUGCCCCAACUGUCACCUAACAAACAAUUAAUAAUAAAAAGAGAAACAAUGAACAUUUAGCAAGCAUUUAAUAUGUGGCAGGCACUGUGCCUAAGGCAUUACCUAUAUUAAGUGAUUUAAUCCUCCCAACAACCCUAUGAGGUAAGAACUGUUAUUAUAUCCAUUUCAUAGAUGAAGAAACUGAGGCUGGCAAGGUGGGGCAAUGCACCAAAGGACAAACAGCAAGGAUUUGGUGGAGUGGGUUUCAACCCAGCCCUCCAGAACCUGUGCGCCAAACCACAGUUCUAUCCUGGACGGCUGGAUGGGGGACGGACAGACUGACGGAUGGGACUGAUGAUUGACAGCUCUGUCCCACCUGCACCAGGCCUGAGGCUGGGCACCCAGUAGGAGCUUAGCCAGCAUCGGCCACAAGAACACUGGGCAUUCUCACGCAGUGCCUGCCGGAGGGGCCUCAUGUCCCCAGCAGGGCCGGAGCUUGGGGGCGGUGGGCAGUGUGCCUGGGCUGCUGGGGGGGCCCAACUCCCUCCCGAGCAGAGCCACGGCGGCAUGACGGAUGUGCCCGCCACCGCGGGGAGCCCAGGGUAUAGCAGUUGCCUGGAAACAGGCUGCUCUCGCGGCCCACACUCAGACCUUUGUCACCAUCUCAAGGACCUUUUUUUCCCUCUUCCUCCUUUCACGAUGGAGCCAGACCCUGCACGCAGACACGGACUGAGGACUUCAUGUAUUCCAGAUUCUCCCCACAGCAACUGGAAGAAGUAGCUGACGUUGCUCUCCCCAUUUUACAGAUGUGAGAAUGGAAGAAGUUAAGAUGGAUCCAAGCCAGUUGAUGAGGAAACUGAGGCUCAGAGAGGGGAAGUAACUUACCCAAGACUGCACAGCAGUAAGCGGCAGAACCUGGACCCAGCCCCUGGCUCCAGACCCCCACUGCUCUGCUGACCUGCAGGGGCCUCGAAUCAACAUAAAGCCUUUCACCCCUAGCCUGCUCCUGUCUCAACCUCAACCUCCAGAGAACAUCCAUCCUCCAUGGAGCCUCCCAGCCUGAGCCCUCUGAGCUGCCUCCCUUCUUCUCUCCCCUCAGCCCAGGCUUCCCUAUCACCCCACAGAGAGCCUCGGAGCCACCCUUGGGAGCUUCACAGCUGCCUGGCUUUGGGAUCUUUGCUCUGAGAGACCCCAAGAUGGAGCAGCAGCCCCUAUGCUGUGGCCCACCGGGCAGGCUUGGUUUUAUGCCAUCUUCCCAGCUACCCCUUGGGGUACGGGUUUUAUCACCCCCUUAUACAGAAGGGGUCAGGGAUCAAAGCAGGCAAGCCAUUUGCCCAGAACCACACAGCUGUUGCCAGAGUUGGGAUCCAAAUGCAGGACUGUCCUUGGCCAUACCGCCUUCUGGAUGUCCCUACAGUGGCUCUGCCCAGUCAAGAGCCCCUGUUGCCCGGGGAGACCCCUCUUCACAUCCUCAUGACAAUGACAAUCCCACGAGUUAAACAUUUCACAUGGAUUCUUGCCUUUAGUUUUUCCCAACAACCUGCAGGGGAGGGGCAAUCAUCACACCCAUUUUACAGACGAAGAAACUGAGGCACCCAGUGGUUGCUUAGCUGGGGGCCCAGCAGAGCCUGUGCCUUGGUUUGCUAACCUGUAGAAUGGGGUCAUAACACAGCCUUGCAGGGUGCUUGAGGACUGUGCAAGGCUGUGGAAGCCAGGGGCUCUCGGAAACACCCCUGAGGGCUGUCCUCAGACAAGGCCGGAGGCCCGAUUGUGUUUUUCUCGACUCGCCAGCAUCCAGUCAGGGCCUGGCCUGCUGAAGGAAGGGCCCCAUGUCUCCUUGAACAUUUCCUCAGCCCGGGGAUGCCGAGAAAACGAUGAGUCAUCCACCCAAGCAGAGGCCUCCCAGGAGCUUGUGUCGGGUCCCAGCCGGGAGGGGAGGGCUCCAAGCUGGAGAGGGGGCCCGGGUAACACGAUGACUCCCGCGCUGGCCCCGAGGCCUAAGUCACGGGGUCCCCUCCACGGCCUCCCACCGCCACAGGCUGCCAGCCUACCGGACACCCUUGGAUGCUGUGCCCCAGAUCCUGCCCCUGCGCCUUCACCCCAGAUCUGCACCCCGGUUUCCUAAACCACUCUUCCCACCCACGAAUCCCAGGGUUGCCUGCGACCCUCUAGCCUCCCUCACCCCACUCCCACCUCACCUAGCCCCAGCCACUCAACCGCUGGUCCGUCGAGGAAACCCGUCACGCCUUUCUCCCCUCACCUCACUAUGCCUCUGCCUGGUUUUCCUUCUCCAUCGCCCUCUUGCCUCUCACCACAGAAUCUGAGCGUUCCUUCUAAAACCCCAACGUGACCUUAGCUCCCUCCACGUGAGAACCCUCCUGUGAGCUCCCUGCUGUGCCUGAUGCGAUGGGCUCUUCAGAUCUCUCUCCUCCAUCUGGCCCCAACCAAUCUUGCCAGCUCACCCCUUCAGGACCCCACUGUGGUUCUCAAGCUGACUUGGCCAUUUACUCAUCUCCACUCCAUCUAGAAUGUUCUUCCAAACAUGCUUCUCUAAGAAAAUUGGCCCUGGGAUCCGUCGUACAACGCCCACGCUGACCCCGCC